rnacentral:rRNA from 1 species
ACGGGAGGCAGCAGUGAGGAAUAUUGGUCAAUGGACGGAAGUCUGAACCAGCCAAGUCGCGUGAAGGAUGAAGGUUCUAUGGAUUGUAAACUUCUUUUGCCCGAGGGUAAAGUGAGGGACGUGUCCCUUAUUGCAAGUAUCGGGUGAAUAAGCAUCGGCUAACUCCGUGCCAGCAGCCGCGGUAAUACGGAGGAUGCGAGCGUUAUCCGGAUUUAUUGGGUUUAAAGGGUGCGUAGGCGGUUUGUUAAGUCAGUGGUAAAAGCGUGUGGCUCAACCAUACCAAGCCAUUGAAACUGGCGAACUUGAGUGUAAACGAGGUAGGCGGAAUAUGACAUGUAGCGGUGAAAUGCUUAGAUAUGUCAUAGAACUCCGAUUGCGAAGGCAGCUUACCAGCAUACAACUGACGCUGAGGCACGAAAGCGUGGGUAUCAAACAGGAUUAGAUACCCUGGUA